GACGAACGCUGGCGGCGUGCUUAACACAUGCAAGUCGAGCGGUAAGGCCUCUUCGGGGGUACACGAGCGGCGAACGGGUGAGUAACACGUGGGUGACCUGCCCUCAGCUCUGGGAUAAGCCUGGGAAACUGGGUCUAAUACCGGAUAUGACCUUUCCUCGCAUGGGGUUUGGUGGAAAGUUGUUUCGGCUGGGGAUGGGCCCGCGGCCUAUCAGCUUGUUGGUGGGGUGAUGGCCUACCAAGGCGACGACGGGUAGCCGGCCUGAGAGGGCGACCGGCCACACUGGGACUGAGACACGGCCCAGACUCCUACGGGAGGCAGCAGUGGGGAAUAUUGCGCAAUGGGCGGAAGCCUGACGCAGCGACGCCGCGUGGGGGAUGACGGCCUUCGGGUUGUAAACCUCUUUCGACCCCGACGAAUUUGGACGGUAGGGGUAGAAGAAGCACCGGCCAACUACGUG
rnacentral:rRNA from 1 species